UUAUAUAUUACUAAAUCUUAAUUUCUUAAAUUUUUAAUAUUAAUUACUAUUUUCAUAAAUUAAAUA
rnacentral:rRNA from 1 species